rnacentral:lncRNA from 1 species
UAACCUUGAAAUCCAUUCAUCAGAACAAAAAUGUUUCCAUAGCGCUAUAAAUUUGGGAUUCACCAAAGAAAUGUAUGGACCCAGCUUUCUCUAGUUGAUUUAUCUGGAUUCUGGACACUAAGUAAACGAUAUUUUCUAACAUCUAUCUUCAUAGGCCACAACAAAAGAGGCACUUGUAUAUAUAGUGAGGCUGCAACACUGAGCUCUUGUAUUUAUAAUUAAAAGUUAUUGAGAGUAGUGAGCAUGUAACAUUGAAGCCAUCUUUAAACUUCGAUAGUCUCCCAAAUUCACUUCCCAUCACAAGAAUUGUGAGGUUUUAACUUCCCUGCAACUCAAAACAGAUCCGCAAACAAGAAGAAUAAAAGAACACACACAAUUGUUAACCCAGUUCACGGCUAACCGCUACGUCUGGAGAGGGAAACUCUUGUCCCUUAACUUCCACUAGAUCAAGGUUCAAACUACAACACCAACUGACUUGUUCUACUUGUUACAGGUUUUGUGCCAAGAGAGAAAACACAGAACGCCCUAGAACAAGCUAUGUGAAAAGAUACGGCCUAAGGAAGAAGAAACAACUAGGUAUUCUCUAUUCCUUAUAUACGAACUUGAUCUCCACGUUUUUGUGUCUUGGACUUCACAUCUUGGUCCAAUCUCUUCUCCUAUAAUACUUGUGUAGAACUUGUAUCAGGUCCAUCUAAAUAAUCAGACAGCCCAGUUCUAGAUUUGACCCAAAAGGCAACCUGAGAUUCACAUUCUCCACCUUUGACUUUUGGUCAAAAUCCCUUUCACGUAGUUUUCCCCUUUCUCUCUAAUGGAAUCUGAUGCUCAUCGAUUUCUUCCAAUAAGCAUCUCCUUCGGUGUCAGCUCCUUUGCCAACUCCACCUGUGAAGAAAUUCACACCUCUGAUUCUUCUUUUCAGUUCCACCGAAGAAUCAUGCUUCUUCCUCACACCAAUUUCGGACAUCUCAAAUGAGUGUCCUCUUCCAUCAGUUUCAACAGCGAGAUUUAAAAAAAAAAAAAAACCCAGGUAAAUCAAUUUCGGAAUCUUUUCUUUUCUGUGACAUUCCCUUUCUGAUUUCUGCAAUUUCUUUUCUGUAAAACCUCUGAUUCUGUCGCCGAGACCUCCUGAACAAAAUACUGACCCAUUUUGUUCUUCUCUUCUGUUUUGCGAGAAUACCAUGGCUGGCUUCACACAGAAUAAGCUUGAAAAGGUAGUACCUGUCAAUUCUGACUCUAUCCUUUUCCUUAUUCCCUUUGUCGAUUUUUUCUCUUUCCCGAGAACACUAACUCCUUGUGCUCUCUUCUUCCUGCGAGAUGAUCCAUCGACGAAGACCUUCUCGCUUUCCUCUGGACCUUUUCAGGCGAGGACUCUGAGGCUCUCACGCCCUUGUUCAAACCGCUUUCCAGGUAAUCCCUUAGUUAGUAAAUCUGCUGGGUUGACUGAAGUAUGAAUUUUGUGUAGAAAAACAUCUCCAUCUUCGAUGACAUCUCUGAUAAAAUAUAAUCGAUUGUCUAUAUGCUUGGUCCUCUCAUGAAAUCCUCCAUUUUUCGCCAAGUGUAUAGCACUCUGAGAAUCUGAGAAUACUUUCACAUCAUCCUGUUCAAUACCCAAAUCACUAACCAUUCGUUUCAACCAUAAAGCUUCUUUGAACGCCUCUGUUAAAGCCAUGUAUUCAGAUUUUGUAGUUGACAGAGCUACUAUCUGUUGUAGUCCUGAUCUCCAACUGACUGUAUUACCACCAACCUGAAAUACAUAACCCGUUACAGAUCUUCUUCUAUCAAGAUCUGUAGCAUAAUCAGCAUCUGAAAAACCUUCGACCUUAAAACUUGAAUUCUUUGUGAAUGUAAGACUUAAACUUGAAGUUCCUUUAAGAUAUCGCAAUAUCCAUUUAACUGCUUGCCAAUGCACUCUUCCUGGACUUCCCAUAAAUCUACUAACCACACCCACAGCAUGUGCCAAAUCAGGCCUCGAACCCACCAUGGCAUACAUGAGCGAUCCUACUGCACUUGCAUAAGGUAUCUCACUCAUCAAAUGCCUCUCAGUCUUUAAUUCUUCAUCACUUAAGCUUCUGAGUUUAAACUGAGAACCCAAAUGUGUACUCACAGGUUUUGCCUCACUCAUACUGAAAGUUCUAAGUACCUGUUCGAUGUACUUUUCUUGUGAUAGCUUCAGAAUUCCUUUUUCCCUGUCUCUGAUGAAAUCCAUUCCAAGAAUCCUAGUUGCAGCUCCUAGGUCUUUCAUUUCAAAUUCUCUCAUCAAACUCUGUUUCAACUCCUUAAUUCCUGCUGAAUUCUUUGAUGCAACAAGCAUAUCAUCCACAUAUAUCAAAAGAUAUACAGAGUUGUGUAUAUCCGAACCUGAGAUAUACACACAAGGAUCAAACACACUUUUCCUGAAUCCUUGACCUUCAUAAAACCAUCGAACCUCUUAUUCCAUUGUCUUGGUGACUGUUUAACUCCAUACAUGGAUUUCUUCAGUAAACACACCAUUUCUUCCUUCCCUUUCACUUGAAAACCUUCUGGUUGUGCCAUAUAAAUUUCCUCAUCCAAUGAUCCAUGUAAAAAAGCUGUUUUUACAUCUAACUGCUCCAGAUCAUAAUCUUGAUUUACUACAAGUGAAAGCAAAAUUCGAAUAGACACAUGCUUAACUACUGGUGCGAACACUUCGGUAUAGUCGAUACCUUCCACUUGUGAGAAGCCCUGUGCUACCAGCCUAGCCUUGUAUCUUGGCUCCUCAACCCCUGGAAUUCCUGGUUUCCAUUUAAACACCCACUUGCAGCCUAUUAUUUUCUUCUUUUCUGGUUUUUCCACCAAUUCCCAUGUGUCAUUCUUGUGCAAAGAUUCUAUCUCUUCUCCGGCUGCCGAUUUCCACUUUUUCCAAUCUUUGCUUCUUCUUGCUUCGAAGUAUGAUUUGGGUUCAUCUAUUUCAAUGUCUUCAGCACAAGACAGUGCAUAUGCUACAACGUCGAAAUCAUCAUACUUUGAAGGGAACUUUGAUACUCUUUUUUCUCUGUCUCUAGCAAGAAUAUAAUUUUCAAGGUUCACUUGAUCUUCUUCACCGGCUUCACUUUCUGUGUCUGUUUCUGAACCAGAUCCUUCAUUUUCUGAACCAGAUCCUGAUAUACCCGAAACUGAACCAGCUCCACCUUGAACAGAAUUUUCUGAAUCUGCUCCACCUUGAACCGAAUUCCCUGCAUCUGAGUAUUCUGCUGAAGCACCUCUGAUUAGAUCAUUACUUAAAGAAACCCUCUUAAUCUUCUUUUGUGUUUGACCGGUUGUUUCUUUCUGAACUAAAUCAACAACUUUCGUGGACUUUAAUGUAUCCUUGUACAACUCAUCUUCGUUAAAGACCACGUUCCGACUGAUGCUACAUUCUCCAUCUUCCUCAAUCCAAAUUCUGUAAUCCUUUGUACCUUGCGGAUACCCCACAAACACACCCUUGACAGCUUUAGGACUUGUCUUUUCCUUUGACACAUGAACAUACGCAGAACAGCCAAAAAUCUUAAUAUUACUUAAAUCUGGUUUAGAACCACUCCAAACUUCUUCUGGUAACUUUAACUCAAUAGAUGAAUUUGGAGACCUAUUGAUUAAGUAUACUGCUGUUGAAGCAGCCUCAGCCCAGAAUCUCUCUUCCAAACCACUUUCUGCGAGCAUGCAUCUCACCUUAUCCAUGAUAGUCCUAUUCAUUCUUUCAGACACUCCGUUCUGUUGGGGAGUGUAGGUACACAUCCUAUGUCUCUUAAUACCUGAUAACUUACACAGUGUAUCAAACUUGUUGUUACAAAAUUCUAACCCAUAGUCUGUUCUUAGACACUUGAUCCUCUUGUUCGUCUGAUUCUCAACACUCACCUUCCAUUCCUUAAAUUUUUCAAAAGCUUGAUCUUUAGUUUUCCGAAAGUAGAUCCAAACUUUUCUUGAAAAAUUGUCAAUGAAGGUCACAAAAUAUUGACAAUCUGCAAGACUUUUUGUGACAGAUGGAGAAUCCCAUAAAUCAGAAUGAAUGUACUCAAGAAUCUCCUUCGUAGUGUGCUUUGAUCUCUGGAAACUCUGCUUGUGAGAUUUUCCCAACACACAACUUUCACAGAAUUUAAGGUCCUUAACCUCUUUUUCUUUCAGAUAUCCUUCUUUCACCAGUACGUCCAUACACUUGGAACUCAUGUGACCCAGUCUUGAGUGCCAUUUCUGUGUCGGGUCAUUUUCUGAUUUUGCUGUAGCAGCUUCAGCCUUAGAGACAGUUCCCUCAAGGUAAUAUAAUCCCUCAUAAUAAACAUCAGCAAUUACCCUCUUGUCUCCUUUGUAGAACUGUAUUCUUCCGUCCUUUCCUUCAUACCGACAGCCGGCUUUGUCCAACAAUCCGUACGAAAUCAAAUUUCGACUCAUAGUUGGCAUAUAUCUCACCUCGGUGAGAAUCACGGUUGAUCCAUCUGGGUUUGAAAUUUUUAUCUUACCCAUACCCUUGACUUCACUGUGAGUGUUAUUUCCCAUCAACACUUUUCCUCCUUUGAACUCUUCCAAGUCUAACAACAAAUCUCUGUUUGGAGUUAUGUGAAAACUGCAACCUGAGUCCAAAACCCAUUCAUUUUUUGAAUCAUGAAUGCUGGCGGUAAGAACUAAAGGCUCUUUGACUUCUGUAACAAAGUUAGCAGAAUCUUCUGGUUUGCCUUUACCUCUAUUUGGACAAUCUCUCUUUCAGUGUCCUUCCUUACCACACACAAAGCAACCCUUACCCUUGAACUUAUUUUGAGACUUUCCUCUACUCUUCGAUCUGGAGUUCUUGUGGUCACUUCCGUCUCUUUUUUCAGAUCUUCCUCUUUGACCUACGUAUAAGCCUUCAGCAUUUGAUCUAGGCUUAUUCAGCUGCCCUGAUUCUUUCAAAUCAACUUCCUUGGAAUAAGCAGCUGUGUCACUUCCUCAACAGUAAUUGUAUCUUUACCACUUCCAUACUUCAGAGUAUGAACUAAUGGCUCAUAUAACUUUGGCAAACUGUUAAGCAGGUAGAUGGCUUGAUCUUCUUCUGAGAUAUUGAUAUCAAGACUAGCUAGAUCAGGCACUAGCUUCAAGAAAACAUCCAGGUUUUCAUCUAAACUCUUACUUUCUUCCAUCUUGAAACUGUAGAACUUUUGUUUCAGAUAUAUCCUAUUAGGCAGAGACUUUGUCUGAUAAUUCCUCUCUAAUGCCUUCCAUAUGUCAAGAGCAGUCUUUUCCUUCAUGACUUUCCUAAGAAUCUUGUCCGUAAGACUCAUACUUAAGAGACUUUUCACUCUCUUAUCCAUUGCAGCCUUCUUUGGAUCAAUCUUAGGUUCUUUUCCAUCUUCCUCCUCCUCAGUGUCAGAAAAAAGUGUUGCACCAUCCUUCAGCACAGAGUCCAGUCCAAGGAUCUCUAGUUGACACAACAUCUUAUAUAUGUUUCCACAAGCCAAAAUCGCUUCUACCGUCGAACUUUUCCACAUCAAACCUCCUGUUGGUUGGUUCCAUUGAUCUGCGGUCUUCUACAACUGGUGCUAAAGCGGAUCAGCCUUGAUCUGCAAUCCAAAACCCGGAUGCUCUGAUACCACUUGUGAGGUUUUAACUUCCCUGCAACUCAAAACAGAUCCGCAAACAAGAAGAAUAAAAGAACACACACAAUUGUUAACCCAGUUCACGGCUAACCGCUACGUCUGGAGAGGGAAACUCUUGUCCCUUAACUUCCACUAGAUCAAGGUUCAAACUACAACACCAACUGACUUGUUCUACUUGUUACAGGUUUUGUGCCAAGAGAGAAAACACAGAACGCCCUAGAACAAGCUAUGUGAAAAGAUACGGCCUAAGGAAGAAGAAACAACUAGGUAUUCUCUAUUCCUUAUAUACGAACUUGAUCUCCACGUUUAUUGUGUCUUGGGCUUCACAUCUUGGUCCAAUCUCUUCUCCUAUAAUACUUGUGUAGAACUUGUAUCAGGCCCAUCUAAAUAAUCAGACAGCCCAGUUCUAGAUUUGACCCAAAAGGCAACCUGAGAUUCACAAGAAUUUAUACCCAACUAUUCCAUGUUGGAAUAUAUGUUUCACUUAUGACUAUGUAUUGAUAAAAUCAUGCAAACAAUUUUUCUUUUCUGUUUUGUUUCUAAAGAUCAAAUUUUUAUUUCGAAAUUACAAACUUAUUGAUUUUUUUUAAUCCACUUGGUCAUGCAAGGCUUUCACAUGGUCUUUUCGGACUUUAGGAUUAAUCGGUAUUGGGGUUUGAUACCUUUUAAUGUAUUUUAAAUAAUAUUUUUCAUGAAAAAAAAAAAACUGUGUAGAUAAAUGUCAAUUUUGAUCUAAUUGAGAAUGAUGUAAAAAAAAUCGUUACAAUUCUACAAUCUUGACAAAAGCUUUCUUUUACAAUUAAUUAGUCGAAACAAUUUUUUGUGUGUUUUUGUAGUCAAACCCUAAUUCAUUAAAAACAUAUUCAAUAUGCACAAAUCAGUCCGUCGGUGAACGGGUGAAGCCUAGGCCUUCGGCAAGUCGGAUCUCUAUGUCAACAACAAGAACAUAUAAGUAGAAGCUGUUUGACACAUCAUAUAGAAACAAAUUUUUUUUAAGGUUCUUAUAGUCAAAACUUUAUUAUUUUUGGUCAACAGAUAGUCAAAACUCUAAUCUAUUAAAAUCAGGCCCAAUAUGAUGACUAGAGUGCAGAGAUAUGUCCAUUUCACGGCCGAAGUGGCAUCUGGAUCGAGGUCUUGUUCGGCGACCAUUGGCUUCAUCUUGGGCUUUUAGGAUUUCAUCUUUGGCUUGGCCGACUUCUUCUACGACGUGGAGUUGAACCUCAUGAACAUCAUCUUGCAGAUCUUCUAUGGCAGGCUAGAUUGACUCGAGAUGCUCUUUUACAAUGGGCUUGAUUGAUGAUGUUCUAAUAUGUCGACAGUUCAAUUCUUAAUGUUUAUAUUUCCAACCACACAUUAGAUAUUACAUGCGUCAAUAGCCCUUGGAAACCAUGCUUAUGAUUUAGAAUAUACACUUUGAAGAUGUUUAGAUUCAAACUUCAAAGUAGUGUAAUAUCUUUUUUUUUUUUAAUAUACUUUUAUUUCAUUUUCCCCUUAAAUAGGCAGCGU